GGAGCUACGCUCAGGCUGCCUGCAGCGACAGUGCCCAGGGCUCCGAUGUGUCUCUCACGGCUUGUAAAGGGUGAGACAGCUGCCUGUGUGGGACAGAGCGAUGCAGGACUUGUU